ACUCGCUCCAACUGUCAAAAUGUUUUGAAAAACAAAAUGCUCUUAUUUCGAUGCAUUUCAAGAGUUUUGUUGUGAUAAGAACACUGGAAUAUAGACUGAAAUACUAUCCAACCAUUAGACUCAUGAUCUUGACAUGGAUCCAAGAGGCUGGUAACUAGGCGGGAUGGAAUGUUUCACAGAACUGCAGGUUUCUGGAUGGAGACUCAGCGCCAUGUCACAAAUACUUCAGAACCUAGAGUGAAAGUUACCGAAAGAGCAAUAGACUUUCCAAUCUCUACAAAAUUCAUCUUAACUGUUUUUCAAGGAGAUACUUGAGACUACCAAAUACUUUUCAAGGACAGAAUUCACAAAACAGUUUAUGCCACCAUCUCAUAUCAAAGGAUUGUGCUUGAAUUGAACAGCCUUCAAACAAAAACUGUUUCAAUACCUUCAAUGGAUUCAUUCUGAUUCAGUUUACCAUUGCUGUGAUCUGAGCAACUAUUUACAUCAGUUCAACAUUGUAAAUUGUUUAAACUUGAAAAUUCUGUCUUCUUGCAACUCACAUGAAUCUAUUUACUGUGGACUUUGAUGUUGAAGAGACCAUCUUUAUACAUGCUGGCAUAUCAUUUAAAAAGGAAGCAAAUAUUAUAACCAACAUACUGCACUGUUAUGUCAUCCAAGGACUCAGCUACUGCUCAAUUUAUAAAUACUUGAAAGGAAAAAUGUCUCUGUCAAUGUAAUUACUGUUGUGCAUAAUAAGACAUUUUUUAUUAUGCCCCCCUUCGAAGAAGAGGGGUAUAUUGAUUUGCACAUGUCGGUCGGUAGGUCGGUACCGUCUACCGUAUGAGACCAAAGGUCAAGGUCACAAUGACCUUGAAUGGUAAAUUCAUUUUAAAGCUUGUCCGAGUGAUAACUCAACAAUGCCUAGACCUUGAUAUGGAAGUUGGGCCUCACUAGUAGAUGAUCCCUAUUGUUUUUGGGGAUCAUCGAGCCAAAGAUCAAGGUCACAGUGACCUUGAAUGGUAAAAGGUUGUCCAAGUGAUAAAUCAACAAUGCCUGCACCCAUGGCCCUCAAACUUGACUCGGAGGUUGGGCCUUACCAGUAGAUGACCCCUAUUCAUUUUAGGGGUCAAAGGUCAAGGUCAAAGUGAUCUUGAAAGCAAACUGGACAAUUCCUGGACCAAUCAUGCCAUUCAGUCUGAAUGGUCAUCAAACUUGACAUAAAGGUUGGGCCUGACCAGUAGAUGACCCCUCUUGACUUUGAGGGUCAUCAAGGUCAAGGUCACAAUAACCUUUAAUGCAAAAAAUAUAACAAAUCCUCUCCCAGGGAUAUCUCAACAAUGCCUGAACCUAUGAUCAUCAAACUUGACAUGGAAGUUGGGCUUUACAAGGAGAUGGCGCUUAUUGAUUUUAGAAGUCAUUGGGACAAAUGUCAAGUUCACAGUGACCUUGAAUGCAAAAAUGGUUGUCUGUGUGAUAACAUGUCAAUGCCUGAACCCAUGUCCCUCAAACUUGACUUAGUUUUUUUUAGACCAGCUGAUGACUCAUAUGGAUUUUGAGGUCAUAGAGUCAAAGGUCAUGGUCAUAACACACUCCUCACACUUUGAAUGGUCAUAAUCUUAAAACUGCCUCAACGGCAUCCAAUGUCAGUGACUAAUCAGCUGUCAUUUCGGUCCGUGCUUAUUUCAUUCAAUUGUUCAUAAAAUCCUGACGACAUGGCACUCAGGUGGGGGCAUAAUGUUUGACAAACAUCUCUUGUUGAUACUUGGCUCAUUUCUUACAUGUAGCUGUAACAUUUUGGGCAACUUCUCAAUUAUUUUGUUGAACACAUUUUUCAUCCAGCUCAUCUAAGCCUAAGUUAGUGUUCAUGUUAACUUUUAUGACUGCCUGUUUAUUGUACUUUUUAUAAAUUAUUUUCAAUGAAUUUUUCUCAAGAACCAUUUGGCUAAGCACGUCUCCUCCUGAAAUAGACUAAUUCUUUUAGCUGGAGUUGUCUGUCUGUCCGUCUGUAACAAAUUGUGUCUGCUUCAUGUCUCUUUAACCUUUUGAAGGAUUUGAUAUAACUUCCCACAAAUGUACUCCAUAUUGAGAGGAAGGGUAUAUUAUUAUAACUGUUAAGCAGUUUCUGAACUUGACUGUAUUAUAUCUUGCAUUUACCUCAAGCUGUGAAGUGAACAAUAUAACAUUGGCCAAUACAAGGAACUAAACCUUCUAGGUCACCAUUUUAGAAUAAAGUAAUACUUAAAGCUCAUAUUUCCAUAAGAAUCUGCUCAUAUACAGUUGAAAUAGCUUAUACAAGUAUAUCAUUUCAACAUAACAUCAGAUCCUCCACUGUUUUAUGUUUGCAACAUUUUUGUUUUAUAACUUUGAGUUAUAUAUCAUGACUUUUAUUAACAAAUACCAAACAGCAACUCACAGAUCUAUGCUCAUUUGGGCAGAAUUUUGUAAAUCCAAGCAAUGUCUUUUGAUAUUCAAUGCUUUUUGGCAAAUUGGGACAUUUUCUGUCACAUUAAAAUCAAUUUUAACCAUAAAUCUACAACUUAAAUAUUCUCAUAUUUUUGUGCCCAUUCUUUGCCAAUUAUUUGUUUGUCUAUUGGUAUACAUGUAUGUUUAUUCAUACUGUUUGUCAAAAUAACGAAUGAAUAAAAUGUUUGAAAUAUU